rnacentral:rRNA from 1 species
GACGAACGCUGGCGGCGUGCUCAACACAUGCAAGUCGAGCGGUAAGGCCCUUCGGGGUACACGAGCGGCGAACGGGUGAGUAACACGUGGGUGACCUGCCUUUAGCUCUGGGAUAAGCCUGGGAAACUGGGUCUAAUACCGGAUAUGACCUCAUGACGCAUGUUGUGGGGUGGAAAGCCUUGUGCGGCUAGAGAUGGGCCCGCGGCCUAUCAGCUUGUUGGUGGGGUGAUGGCUACCAAGGCGACGACGGGUAGCCGGCCUCGAGAGGGCGACCGGCCACACUGGGACUGAGACACGGCCCAGACUCCUACGGGAGGGCAGCAGUGGGGAAUCUUGCGCAAUGGGCGAAAGCCUGACGCAGCGACG